rnacentral:rRNA from 1 species
CAGCCACGGUAAUACGUAGGGUGCAAGCGUUAAUCGGAAUUACUGGGCGUAAAGCGUGCGCAGGCGGUUUUGUAAGACAGAGGUGAAAUCCCCGGGCUCAACCUGGGAACUGCCUUUGUGACUGCAAGGCUAGAGUACGGCAGAGGGGGAUGGAAUUCCGCGUGUAGCAGUGAAAUGCGUAGAUAUGCGGAGGAACACCGAUGGCGAAGGCAAUCCCCUGGGCCUGUACUGACGCUCAUGCACGAAAGCGUGGGGAGCAAACAGGAUUAGAUACCCCGGUAGUCCCUGUCUCUUAUACACA